AAUUUUUUAAAAAAAUCUGAAAACCAGGCUGCACCAAUAUAAACUAAGGAGUGACUUUGGUUGUCUGGAUGGUCUAUGAAACGGGACAUUUCUUUGUGGUUGAAAAGCUAAAGAAUAAUCAGAAUGUAAUACCAGAAAGGCCAGUACAAGGAGAGUCCAGAUGUUUAUACUCAAGAGUGAAAUAUAUGUUCAGGAGGACUCUCGUUUUACACUAGGGUCAAGUACGGACUUAACUACUAGAACUCUAUUUUAAGAAACAUUAUUGAUAUAUAUUCUAUUCAGAUUAAAUUUAAAUAACUAAUGAACUAUAAGAUGUGCUUGAAUACAUCUUACAAUUUGGAACUAGUUAAAAAUUUGAAAUAAAAAAGGGGAAGCCCAUCAAGAUUGAUGAUUCUGUGCCGAUUCUGUGUCUUUGGAGACAGAAAACUAAGGCCUCACAGGCUGGGGAGAGUUAUUUUUAUAUAAAGCAUUCUGAAUGGACAAAUGCUAUCUUAUUGAAGUCCAGUUAAUAAAUUCAGACUUUAUCAGCAUUAAUUAUUCAUUUAAAAAUACCCCAGGGGUCAAGAGAACAUAUUAGGGACAGCUGCCCAACACAACAGCACUGAUUAUAAUUGUAUUUAUUGAGGGCUUAUGGUAUAACGUGCAAUGUAUUUUAAAUGCAUUGUUUCAAGUGACCUCACGGAAAUUGUAUGGACUAAGUUUUACUAUUCCCAUUUACCCACUGAGGAAACGGAAGCUUACAGAAAUUCUUUAAUAGUCUCAAAGGAUAAGGAGAGAGUAAAUAGUAAAAUCAGAAUUAAGAUUAAGAUGGUUAGAUUUCAAAGCUCAUAAAAAAAUAUGUUUAGCACUGAUUGAUCUUUCAUGGAUAAAUUCAUUAAUUUCAUGGUUCAAAGCCCAUUGUGUGCCCAUUAGUGCCUGAACCACCAAGUCUGUUCAGAACAGAUUCAUUAUCACAGAUUAGAAUAAAGAAUCAGAUUUAUCUAUUCACCUCAGCAAAAUUAAUUUGAGGCACUUAGAAUACAAAAUACUAUGGUUCCCGGAACAGUCCUCAGCAGUACUGAAUGCUGCAUGAGUGUUAGAGAUGGGAAAAGAGAGGAACAUUCUUGGAUGCUGUGAUUGUACUACAGGGAAGAUGAUGCUGAAAGAUAUGUUCAGAUUGGACACUCUCUCCAAUGCCCUCAGUAUUUCAUCUUGUACCUCCCUUCCCUUGGGAUUGCAAGUCCUUUUCACAUCUAAUCUCCUUACAUCUCUCUGAAGUUCUCCUUCUCCUUAUCUACUUUCUCCUAAAAAAAGCAAAUUUGCCUCUCCACUUCGUGCUUAUUUACUCUGUCUUUGCAAAAGAUCAAAGCAAAUCACGCCUUCACAGUGAACAAAUUUUCAUUAGUUUACACAGCAAAUUUUGUGGCACAGAGCACUUUCCCUGUGUCUGCCCAGCAAAAGUGCUUAUUUCCUUACAAUGUGCAUUUCCACAAUUAAAUCUUUCAUUAAAUUGAGUCAAUGAUUUUUCAUUCAUCCCUUAUAUUGGGAGACGGAAAUGUUUUUUUUUUUUAAGAUUUAGCAUCUGCCUUCAAAGAGUUUAUAAUAUGUUGAAUCCAGCAGAACGACUCCAGUAAAUCAACAAUAAGAAAACACCAAAAGUUCAAGAAGAGGCGUGCAGACAAAAUACUAAGAUGGCUCAGAAGAUGAACGAAACAUAACCAGCCUCUUGUCCUACACACCCACUCAUGCUGAGUAAAUGGCUUGGCAGGAGGAACCCCAGCAUCUAUCGCAGUGCAGAGAUCAAAGCCAACACCACACCUAAGCCAAAGGUCUUUAAGAAAAAACAGACUUAGUGAUUUACCUGCUUUAUUUUGAGGUAAUAGCUGGAGAGUGAAUUCUGGUAUAACUUCCAAAAUGUAGGAUUUGAUAUUUCUGUCACAAGAAAGAUAUACUGCCAACAGCUUUUAAAUAGCCUUUCUCUUAGAUGAAAAGAAGAUGAAAGUUUGCAUUCUUAAAAUUUCCCAAUAAUGAACAAGUAUUGAGAAAUUCAAGAUAGGGGAGUAAUGUAUACCAGAGAAAUUAUCUUGCAGGAAGUUGGGCCUGUGAAUUAGCAGGUGCCUAGCUGAUUUGCUAAGAAACCUUUUAGGCAGUAGGACAAAUUCAUGCCUGCAGGUCAUGUGCUUGGGAUUUUGUAGCAUUUCUUUGGAUUUGGUAUCAUAGACAAAGGCAUAUAUCAAAUGGGGAAAAACCAAAGAAAACAAUUUAUUUGAAAGAAGUGCAGCACUGAUGUUUGCCUUACACCUCCAAUAAUUGCCUGCCAAUACAUUUUAGAGACCAUCUAUUUGAAAUAUCAUAUUUGCUUGGAUUGUACUUAUAUCUAAAUUUUUUUUUUUUACUGUGAAUCUUCAUUUCACUCAGAAUAACAACAGCCCUCAAUGUGAUGCUACAAUGGCUUUGAAUAUAAUAACAGCCUUGAAUUUGAAUAUAAGGCAUUUUAAGCAUGAGCCCACCAUUUGGAUACUCCACAGUUUCACAGAGGAAGGACACAAAUCUGUCAUUUAGGUGUGGCUUUGAAUAAUCUUCGUUUUGUCAAAGCCACUCAUUCUGCUAUAGUGAGCCUGAAUGGAUAGGGCCAAAGACAUUACUGUCCCUAAAAGAAAUGUCACUUUCUCCCAGUGUGGUGCUACGGAGUCACACUGAGAUAAUGGUUUAGCACUGAUUCUGCAGCUGCCUCUGGGAUUAGUUCCUGUGAGUCUGCCUAUAGAUGCAACACCAUGCAGCCCAUACAUCUUAAAUGUGGGAAUGAAAUAGAAUAGAUUGCUGUAUAAUUUUUUUAGAUCUAAAUAAUAUAUGCUAACACUGAAUCCACAGUCACUUUAAAAUAAAAGAUCUCCCCUGAAUAUAAUUCAUAAUGAAUACCAGAACACUAUUCUUCUUUGUAUGAGCUGCCAAGGAAAUAGAGACUGGGGGAACAAAAAAAAUGAAUAAUUAACUGUUUCCAUAUUUCUUUAAAAUUGGAUAAAGGAGAUUGACUUUGAGGAUUGAAUCUAACCCACUUGGUGCAUAACUCGUGCUUAGCAUCUCCCGAGUAUGUAAUUGAUACCUUAUUUAACACAUUUUACUGGGAAUUACCAAGACCACCUACUAGUAAAUUACCACAUUUUUAAUAUAUUUUUCCUUUUUAUAUUUUGAAAGCAGACUUUGAAAAAAAGCAAGGUAACUGACUAUAGGUUCAUGUAUAAUUUUUUGCUUUGAAACGGUUACUACUGCUUCCAGGGGCAGUUUCUUUAGGAAAAAUAUCACAGUAUUAAAUUAAAGAAGCAGUUUAAAGGGUUACUAGCCACAUUAUCUAACAUGAUAUUUCUGCCCCUUCUCAAUAAUUCCAAAUCUUUUCUGCCUUGGUUGUCCCCAGUGAGGCAGGGUGGGAACAGCUUCUCUGCUUGCUCCUCCUGCAUUUGGUGAGGAACUAGUUUGUCAUUUGUCCUGUAUGACAUGAUUACAGAGGUGCUGGAAGUAUCUACCCAUCUGUCAUUUGUAUCUGAUUCCAUCAACCAUUACUGGGCAUUACCCCUACCCUAAAUCCAGCCCUUUCCUGUAAAGAAAUUUCCAACUAAUGUAGAAAAAGCCUCUAAGCCAGUGGUUCUCAACCUUCCUAAUGCCGCGACCCUUUAAUACAGUUCCUCAUGUUGUGGUGACCCCCAAUUUCAUUGUUACAAAUUGAACAUAAUAAAAGCAUAGUGAUUAAUCACAAAAACAAUAUGUAAUUAUAUAUGUGUUUUCCGAUGGUCUUAGGCGACCCCUGUGAAAGGGUUGUUCAACCCCCAAAAGGGUCACCAACCACAGGUUGAGAACUGCUGCUCUAAUAGUUGUGUACUCAUUCAGCACAUAUUGAUAAUCAAGAGGGUGAAGAGAGGUACUCAGAGUUCAGAGAUCAUCAUCUCUUUGAAGAGUGGAAUAGGUAAGACAACAUAGCUUGCCAAGCAGGAGUAUUAUGAAUUGGAUUAUGUCCCUCUGCUGGGGUCUUUUCCACAUCUACAAGGGUUCAGGAAUCUGGAGAAGGGCUGUGCAAAAAUGAAUGAGAGAGACUAGACAAGAAAUAGUUUGGAAGGCAUUUUGGGGAGUCAGACAGCUACUUAGUUCUAGUGACUAAGUACUCCUCUCCCAAUCUCCUGGCCCCUGGUUUUUUAUUCCCACAUUUUGCCCUAUGGCAAAGCAGAUAUACAUACCAAAGGUAAGGUUUGGUAAACAAUAAAGUAUUAUCAGGUUGGGGGAACUGCCCUCAGCUGGCAGCAGGCAAUAAUAUACGCAGAUCUUCCGCCUUGCCGAAGCCCCAGGGUUCAUCAGCCAUCUGAUGAACUUCAUGCAUAAUUAUAACCUGCUGGAAUUUGCUUCCAGCAUCCCUCCUAGAAAAGUAUGUUGAAGUCCAAAUCUCCCCGUACCUCAGAAUGUGACCUUGUUUGGAAAUGGAGUCCUUACAGAGAUAACCAAGUUACAAUGAAAGCAUGAGGGUGAGCCUGAAUGCAAUAUGACUGGUGUCCUAUGAGACGGAGAAAUUUAGCACUGAGACUGGCAUGUGCAGAGGGAAGAGAUGGGAAGACAAAAGGAGGCGGCCUGUGAAGAUGGAUGUGGAGAUUGGAGUUCCAUGCUAAGCCAGGGAGCAGGAAGGAUUGGUGGGCACCCCCGAAGGCUAGGGGCGGGGAAGGCAGGAUUCUCCCCUGUAGGCUUCCAGGGGCUCACACACCUGCUGACGCCUUGAUUUAGAUUUCUUGUCACCAGGACUGUGGUACAGUGCAUUUCUGUUAUUUUAAGCAUCCAUGUUGUUGGUGCUUGGUGACAGCAGCCCUAGAAAACUAACACAAUGAGGGGAAAUUGUUAGACAUGAAAUAAAAGGGUAGGAUUCUGAAAAGUAAAGUAUUUCUCAGAUGACUAAUUAUUAAAAUAGGUUUUAUUAUUGUCCAUCAGUGUAUUACUGCCUUACUACAGAUACUUUAGAAAGUAAAGUUAAAA